AAGUCUCGUUUAUUAGGUACAAAGCAGCUGCUUAUAAGCAAGCAAAGGCCGGAAGCUCUGAGUUCUGACGUCAGUAAGAAACCAUGGAGACGAGGCUGCAGGCUGGCCUCGUGACUAAGAAGAACGUGAAACUUAGAUAAGGGAAGCAGAAGCUUGAGCAACAAGAUCACAAGACGCUCAAGAUGGCCACUGCUCCCUACAGUUUCAGGCAUCACACAUGCAAGGUCCCCGGUUAACAGUUUUAGGUUUCCAAUGUGAAACGGUUUCUUUUUACCGUUUCAGGCAUCACAUAUGAAAGGGCUCCGGUUUACAGUUUUAGGCCUCACAAGUGAAACGGUUUGUUUAACAUUUCAGGCAUCACAAAUGCAAGGUCCCCGGUUUACAGUUUUAGGCCUCAAAUGUGAAACGGUUUCUUUUUACCGUUUCGGGCAUCACACAUGCAAGGGCUCCGGUUUACAGUUUUAGGUUUCAAAUGUGAAACGGUUUCUUUUUACCGUUUCGGGCAUCACACAUGCAAGCACCCCGAUUUACAGUUUUAGGCACAAAUGUGAAAUGGCCUCUGUUUACAGUUUCAGAAGUUACAUAUGAAAGGGUUCCAGUUCACAGUUUUAGGACUCACGGCCGGGCGUGGUGGCUCAUGCGUGUAAUCCAAGCACUUUGGAGGCCAAGGCGGUCGGAUCACCUGAGGUCGGGAGUUUCAGAGCAGCCUGACCAAUAGGGUGAAACCUCGUCUUUAAAAAAAAAGAAAGAAAUAAAAAUAAAUAAAUAUUUUUAAAAAGGACUCACAUGUGAAAAGGUUUCUGCUGGCUGGCGGGCAAUGAUGGCGGCGGGUGAUGGGGACGUGAAGCCAGGCACCCUGGGGAGUGGCAGCGAGAGCAGUAGCAACGCCAGCCACCAGAGCCCCGGUGGCGUGGGAGUGUCAGCGGAAGGGGGAGGCUGGGCGGCGGCCGCGGCAUUGGCUCUUCUGACCGGCGGGGGCGGGGACAUGCUGCUGAAUGUGGCGCUGGUGCUGCUGGGGGCCUACUGGGUGUGGGUGCGCUGGGGGGGGGCGGGGUCUGGGGUCUGGGUCCGGGGCGGGGCGGGCGAGGAGACACCCGCCGCCUCUCUGCCUCACAUUGGGAAGUGGGACUUCAGCUUGGAGCAGCUGGGCCUGUACGACGGGUCCCGCAACCCGCUCAUCCUGCUCUCGGUCAGUGGGAAAAGUCUUCCAUGUGACCAAAGGAAACAAGUUCUAAGGCCGGGCGGGUCCGUAUGGAAUAUUUGCUGGGAGGGAUGCCUCUAGAGGACUGGCAACAUUUUUGCCUAGAUAAACAUGCACUUAGAGAGGAAUAUGAUGAUCUCUCAGAUUUGAAUGCAGUACAAAUGGAGAGUGCUCGAGAAUGGGAAAUGCAGUUUAAAGAAAAAUAUGAUGAUGUAGGCAGACUCCUAAAACCAGGGGAAGAGUCAUCAGAAUAUACAGAUGAGGACGAUACCAAGGAUCACAAUAAACAGGAUUGAACUUCGUAAACAACCAAAGUCAGGGGCCUUCAGAACUGCAAUUCUUACUCCCUUUCACAGAAUGUCCAGCAUCUUUGGAUUUGAGUUACCUGCUGCGAAAAACAUUCAACAAAUUGUGUACAAGAGAAAUGAAUCUCACUAUGAAGAUUUGAAUUCUAGACAUUAUUUAUGCUGCCAAUUCAUUUGUUGCAGUUGUUUGUAAUGUCUAGUGGGGCUUCAUCAUCCUGAAAAGAAAGAGACAGGGAUUUUUUUGAAGAGCAACAAAGUCACAAGAUUAUUUCUUUUCUUUCCUUCCGUUUUUCCUUCUUUCCUUCCUUCCCUUCUCUUUCUUGUUGAAAUAUAUUGAAGACAACCAGAUGUGUAUCUGCUACUCAAGUGUACAAAUCUCCUCAAGAAACAUCAAGGGACUCCUAUGUCACAUACUGUGUUUUUCUUUUGCCAGUGGUGGGGGAGGAGACCUGAGCAGGGGAGGCGGCGGGGAUACACAACAAUUUGAGUAGUUUAGGCUGCUGAAACAUUAAAAUGUGAAUUCCCAAGCUUUCUUUUCGGCUUUGUCAGGGAAAAGGAAAAUAUCUUUAUUUCUAAGAAAUCUUUGGAAAUUAAGAGAAGGAAUUUCAAGUGGGUUUUAGUCAGAACUGGCUCCCCAGUAGAAAGAUCAUUUGAAACCAGUUUUUAUCCCUUCUCUUUCCUUCCCUUCUUCCCCUCAAUCAAAUCGAUAUUAAUUGUGCCUUAUUUCACUUAACAUAGACUUGAAUUAUUUUUCGGGAAAGCCCCUAUGAUGAAUUCAGAAGUCACUACAAGCAAGCAUUAAGACUGGAGUUGGAAUGCUCUGUUGACCACAACACCUUGAUAUCAUUCUGUAUAUAUAGAAUGUAAAAGGAAUAUUCAGUGUUAACUGCCAUAUAUUUAAUAUACACAAACUUAAUUAGCAUUGUAAUGGCCAAAUGCAUUCCCCCGUGCUUUUCUCUUUUCAAAGAAAUUGAAAACCAAAUCAAUUCUUAUCUCCUACAGCUGCCUAAUUUUAGGAGUCUGACCUUCCAUAUCUCACUGCUGUGGGUGCAUGGGACUGUGGAGUGGAUGUCUGUGUGAGUGUGUCGGAAUGUGUGUAAGAGUGCCUUGGAAGGGACUCUUUCUGCAGAUACUGAAAAUACAAGUACCAUUUCAAUAAAGUACCUACAGUAAACCAAAAUAAGCAUAGGCCGGGCGCGGAGGCUCACGCCUGUAAUCCCAGCACUUUAAGAGGCUGAGGCGGGCGGAUCACGAGGUCAAGAGAUCGAGACCAUCCUGGCCAUGGUGAAACCCCAUUUUAGUCUCUACUAAAAAUACAAAAAUUAGCCAGGUGUGGUGGCACGCAUCUGUGGUCCCAGCUACUCGGGAGGCUGAGGUGGAAGAAUCGCUUGAACCCAGGCGGCGGUUGCAGUGAGCCGAGAUUGCGCCACUGCACUGCAGCCUGGCGACAGAGUAAGAUUCCGUCUCAAAAACAAACAAACAAACAAACAAACAAGAAACAAAUAAGCUUGAGUUGGACUUUAUAUAACACACUGUAAGCCAGUGCAUUAUGAUGCAGUUGUAAGAUUGUGCGUUUGAUUCGAGAUAAGGAAAACCUUGGAAAUGAAAAGCAGACACUGGUUAACCAAGUUGUACCCAUUGUACCACAUUCAGCAUAACUUUAGGAAGAAAUUCCACUUUGUGGAACAUUCUCUGGAGAUCUGAGAUCAUUCCGGUAACAAUUGGUAUAUUAAAAUAUACAUAUUUUUACUUUAUAUUUUGGUGCCAACUGAUUAUACUAGAUUACAGCACUCCAGGUGGUAGUUAUUGAACACAAGACAUUAAGAUAUUAUACUGAUAGACAUUAAAUUAUUCUUAGGUUGAAAAUGCCCCACAUAUAUCAGUUAUUUGAUUUCAUUAUGAUUACUUAGGUUCUGGGUUGGGGACAAGUUCACUUAGACAAAUUUAACAAGCCGCCAGUCAAAGACUUCCGCUUUAUAGAUCUAUGCAGAAGCCAUCAAACAAGGCAUAACUUUUAACUGCAACAAGAGGCUAAAGUAUGUGAAAUACUACAUUCUACUUGGUCUUGCAGUGUUUUGUAGGAAACUUUCUUCAGCCAAAUCUUUGCUGAAGACUGGUUGUGGAGUGUUGGUAAAUGCUUUGUGUGUUUUUACGUAAAACAUUUUCUACACAAGACGUUUGUCAAAAAUAUAUGUCCUCUGGCGUAAACCGAUUAUAUAUGAAUCAUUUGAGCCUAAAGUCCAGUAAUAAACUAUAUUUGUGACUAGAGAAAUGCUAAAUAUACAUGCAGUAAAAAUCGUGUGGUCUGUUAAGAAAAAUGAGUAAUUUGUGUUUCGGAGGAGAAAUAAACCGUGCUCUGUAGAUAACUGCUCAAAAAAGAAAGAAAAGAAAAUGUUUCAGGAAUCACAUACGAAAGAAUUCUAGUGAACACUUUUAGGCCUCAAAUGUGAGACGGUUUCUUUUUACCGUUUCAGGCAUCACACAUGCAAGGUCUCUCGUUUAUAGUUGUAGGCACAAAUGGGAAACGAUUUCUGUUUACCGUUUCAGGCAUCACAUAUGAAAGGGCUCCGGUUUAGAGUUUUAGGCCUCAGGUUGUGAAACGGUUUCUGUUUACCGUUUCAGGCACCGCACAUGAAAGGUCCCCGGUUUACAGUUUU